GUUUGGCAGUGCAACGAGUGCGUGGAGCUGAAGCGCGGAACUCAAGAGGAAUGAGAGGGAUCAAAGGAUUUAUCCAGUGCUCUUAUAGUGACCCUUCCCUCUGAGGAGACAAGUGGACCUAAACCAUGCCAGGAAAAUGCCCCCCACAGCAUAUCACAGCCACCGAACCCCCUCACUGUAGGGGUCAAGCAUUCAGAAUCCCUGGCCUGCCUGCGCCUGCCCUACUUUCCAGACCCGACAAACCGAUUUCGUCCAACGCGAUGGGGGACUGGGCGCGUGGGUAGGGGGUCGGCGGAGGUAAUGGGAGAGUUCUCGCAACGUGAAAGAAGGUUGGGUCCUGAUUUAAGGUGUCGUUAUCCAGGCGUACGAUCUGAGCUUCAUUUCGCGAAACACGGCAGGUUGUCCCAAUUCAGUGAUCGGGCGUAUCAGAGAUGUAUUUGGGGAAAGUUUCCUGAUUGUUAUUUAUGUUGCUGCACUGCUUCUCACACCAAUUCUUUAAGACACCAAUCUCCUUUGUGCACAGUUGAUUCGUGGGGGCCUGACUUCACUGUAUCUGGCUUUUUUCAUUUUAUAACAAAUUUUUUUGUUUGUUUUGUUUUGUUUCUCUUUUCUUUUUCUGCGCCGAGCAACAUAUAUACAUAUACCGGAACUAAAUAUUGUUUCUCAGUGGCAGAGUGACUGCAGGUCCAUUGGUGUAGCCAUUAUUUUAAAUAUGUGAAAAUGGUUUUUGUGAGAACUCUAUAUAUAUUUAGGUUUUUCUAACUGAAUGCAUCAAUUACAAAUAAAUGAAAAA